rnacentral:rRNA from 1 species
AGAGUUUGAUCCUGGCUCAGGAUGAACGCUGGCGGCGUGCCUAACACAUGCAAGUCGAACGGAGCACUGAGACUUCGGUUUUUGUGCUUAGUGGCGGACGGGUGAGUAACGCGUGAGCAAUCUGCCUUUCAGAGGGGGAUAACGACUGGAAACGGUCGCUAAUACCGCAUAACGUAUUUUGCAGGCAUCUGCGAGAUACCAAAGGAGCAAUCCGCUGAAAGAUGAGCUCGCGUCUGAUUAGAUAGUUGGUGAGGUAACGGCCCACCAAGUCGACGAUCAGUAGCCGGACUGAGAGGUUGAACGGCCACAUUGGGACUGAGACACGGCCCAGACUCCUACGGGAGGCAGCAGUGGGGAAUAUUGCGCAAUGGGGGAAACCCUGACGCAGCAACGCCGCGUGAUCGAAGAAGGUCUUCGGAUUGUAAAGAUCUUUUAUCAGGGACGAAGAAAGUGACGGUACCUGAUGAAUAAGCUCCGGCUAACUACGUGCCAGCAGCCGCGGUAAUACGUAGGGAGCGAGCGUUAUCCGGAUUUACUGGGUGUAAAGGGCGAGUAGGCGGGCUGGUAAGUUGGAAGUGAAAUGUCGGGGCUUAACCCCGGAACUGCUUUCAAAACUGCUGGUCUUGAGUGAUGGAGAGGCAGGCGGAAUUCCUAGUGUAGCGGUGAAAUGCGUAGAUAUUAGGAGGAACACCAGUGGCGAAGGCGGCCUGCUGGACAUUAACUGACGCUGAGGAGCGAAAGCGUGGGGAGCAAACAGGAUUAGAUACCCUGGUAGUCCACGCCGUAAACGAUGGAUACUAGGUGUGGGAGGUAUUGACCCCUUCCGUG